rnacentral:lncRNA from 1 species
AAGAGUUUAUGAGUGUAAGUUUUACAUCUUGUAAUAAAGUAGAGUUAGGCUGGUAUACUAUCGGUAGCACGGAGGUUUUCGUGCUACUAAGUUGUUUUCAAUAAUGCGGCUUUCAAAUCGACGAUCGGUUCCGUUAGACUUGAUCUAUACUAUUGAAAGUAUUUGAAAACUAAAUUUCAUAAUUUUUCGACAUUAUUUGGCUAGUGCUAAAAAUGUCUCAAAAUUGACAAUUUUAAUGGUAGAUUUGAUACGUUUGUGAAUUUAACGGUGUAAAACAAUCCAAAUUUAAUUAAAUUUUUGUAGAAAAUUCUUUUCACUAUUUAGAGUAAGAUUAGUAUCUCUGAUCUUAAAUUAAAAUCUUUUAUCAUCAUUUUUUAAGAGAUUUUUAUUUUCAGCCGUUCAUUUUUAGACUACUCGUUUGAUAGAUAAAUGAUGCCGAAAAAUUAUGAAAUUUAGUUUCCAAAUACUUUCAAUAGUGUAGAUUAAGUCUAACAGAGCCGAUCGUCGAUUUGGAAGCCACGUCAUCAAAAACAAUUUAGUAGCACGAAGGGUUCUGUACUACCAAUAGUAUAUCAGCCGGACUCCAAAGUAUAUCUCCAUAUA